ensembl:lncRNA
GUAUUAAUGCCACUUCAGUUUCUGUAUGCAAUUUAAAAUCUCAAAUUAUAGGGAUUUGACGACACUACCAUUACUACAAAGUUAUUCUGGCUAAUUAUAAUAAACUACAUACAAGAAAAAAUGGGUGGGAAAAUGUGUUUAUCUCAAAUAAAAGUGGAAACUUAACCCCCCGAAAAGAAUACAGAUAAUUGAAAUGAUUUAAUUUACUUAUAAAUCUACCUAAAUGAGAUAACAAAUGUAUAUUUGUGCUUCUGUUUAUUUAGACUGGGAUAUAGCUGACAAUAAAAAUAACUGAAAAUACUGAAAACUAACUGAAACUAAUUCCAAUUUAAAAGAAAAAAUAAAACACUAAAUUAAAACAAAAAAAAGAGGAUUAUAAAACUAUAAAUACAUCGUCUAAUAAUUUUGAGGCGAUUGAAAAGUCCUUUUGAGCUUUUAUUUUUUUACAGUUAACUGACUGACUUCCGGUUAUGGCUUUUCUAACUGAGUGCCUCUCCGCGCAGCCUGUACUCUUCAAGCCCCAUCAAACACGAGUCCGUCGGUCUGGCUGCGCAAGGCAACUGAACACUACGAGCAGCGAGUGGUUAUUCCAGCCCAAACCUCCAACUUAGCAAACAGUGUUAGCUCUAAAUAUCAUCCCUGUCCGUCGGUAAGCGCUGCACUUUGCUUUCCGCUUCCUUCUGAGGACUUCAACUCGCGCUGGUCAAAUUGUCGGCAGACCAAAUACGGAGAAAUAAAACGAAAUAACGGACACGUCUCGGCUGAAAUGCACGGCUGUUGUUACUGUCUUUUGAGGAGGAGGGUGUCCGACACAGAGCUGUAGUUUCUCUUCCAAGAAGGCGAGGAAUGCAAGCUGAGCAUCAAUGUUUCACUGGGGCAAGUGGAAGAAGAGGAUGGGAGCCAACAGUUCUUCAAAGAGACCCGUUUUCGACGAAAAGGAAGAUGGUGAUGCGCAGGCGAUGACAGUUGUAGCAGCCCUGGUGCCUGAGCCAAGGAGUCUUCAAAGAGAUGAGCUCAGCUUGAUGCUGAGGUGGCAACAGGGGGAAUAAAGGUCUCUCUUCCUUGUCGAGGUGUGUGUAUGUGUCUGUGCGGG